rnacentral:misc_RNA from 1 species
UAAAACAAUGCAUAUCCAUAUAUGGUAAAUGAUGCGUUUGGAAGUUAUUUAUUUUUAUAGCUUGUUCAGAUGAUUUCAGGAUUUAAUUUUCUGUUUGAAGGUAUUGAUGAUAAUGCUUGAGCUUUAAAGCAUAAUCAGCUCUCACUUUUAAUCAGAAUCUAAGAAGAAGAAGCAAAUAGCUCUCUCCCUAUCUAUAUAUAAAGCAAAACUGAAAUUACAAGAGAGAAAGGGAGGGGCAGAAGAUGAAAAAAAAGGGAAAAAAAUUUCAGCUGAUGGUAAAUUUUUCUUGGUGGGU